rnacentral:rRNA from 1 species
CGGCCCCUCCACCACCACCUCUAGCUCCUCCUUCUGACAUUCACGUCAUUCCUAACUCUCCACCAUGUUCACGUAACGUCGACUCGGAUCAACAUUCAUUCAUUACCCGACAUGUAUAACAAUACAACAAACCAUACCACCAAACAAUUCAUUACAUAAUACUAGUGCUACAUAACUUAUACUACAAACAUCAAUAUAUAUUAUAUAUAAGUACGAAUUUCUAUUCCACAACAGAUAUAGUUAUCUUAUUAAACAAAAAAUUAAGUUCAUUUAAUAAUCUUAUUUAACUUCUAUAUACACCUAUUUCGACGAUCCGACAUAUCACUACUUCCAACAAAAAUUAUCAAUUACCCCCAUAAUAGGUACACCGAUUCUUCCACA